GGGUUGUGAGGUUAAGCGACUAAGCGUACACGGUGGAUGCCCUGGCAGUCAGAGGCGAUGAAGGACGUGCUAAUCUGCGAUAAGCGUCGGUAAGGUGAUAUGAACCGUUAUAACCGGCGAUUUCCGAAUGGGGAAACCCAGUGUGUUUCGACACACUAUCAUUAACUGAAUCCAUAGGUUAAUGAGGCGAACCGGGGGAACUGAAACAUCUAAGUACCCCGAGGAAAAGAAAUCAACCGAGAUUCCCCCAGUAGCGGCGAGCGAACGGGGAGCAGCCCAGAGCCUGAAUCAGUGUGUGUGUUAGUGGAAGCGUCUGGAAAGGCGCGCGAUACAGGGUGACAGCCCCGUACACAAAAAUGCACAUGCUGUGAGCUCGAUGAGUAGGGCGGGACACGUGGUAUCCUGUCUGAAUAUGGGGGGACCAUCCUCCAAGGCUAAAUACUCCUGACUGACCGAUAGUGAACCAGUACCGUGAGGGAAAGGCGAAAAGAACCCCGGCGAGGGGAGUGAAAAAGAACCUGAAACCGUGUACGUACAAGCAGUGGGAGCACGCUUCGGCGUGUGACUGCGUACCUUUUGUAUAAUGGGUCAGCGACUUAUAUUCUGUAGCAAGGUUAACCGAAUAGGGGAGCCGAAGGGAAACCGAGUCUUAACUGGGCGUUAAGUUGCAGGGUAUAGACCCGAAACCCGGUGAUCUAGCCAUGGGCAGGUUGAAGGUUGGGUAACACUAACUGGAGGACCGAACCGACUAAUGUUGAAAAAUUAGCGGAUGACUUGUGGCUGGGGGUGAAAGGCCAAUCAAACCGGGAGAUAGCUGGUUCUCCCCGAAAGCUAUUUAGGUAGCGCCUCGUGAAUUCAUCUCCGGGGGUAGAGCACUGUUUCGGCAAGGGGGUCAUCCCGACUUACCAACCCGAUGCAAACUGCGAAUACCGGAGAAUGUUAUCACGGGAGACACACGGCGGGUGCUAACGUCCGUCGUGAAGAGGGAAACAACCCAGACCGCCAGCUAAGGUCCCAAAGUCAUGGUUAAGUGGGAAACGAUGUGGGAAGGCCCAGACAGCCAGGAUGUUGGCUUAGAAGCAGCCAUCAUUUAAAGAAAGCGUAAUAGCUCACUGGUCGAGUCGGCCUGCGCGGAAGAUGUAACGGGGCUAAACCAUGCACCGAAGCUGCGGCAGCGACACUAUGUGUUGUUGGGUAGGGGAGCGUUCUGUAAGCCUGUGAAGGUGUGCUGUGAGGCAUGCUGGAGGUAUCAGAAGUGCGAAUGCUGACAUAAGUAACGAUAAAGCGGGUGAAAAGCCCGCUCGCCGGAAGACCAAGGGUUCCUGUCCAACGUUAAUCGGGGCAGGGUGAGUCGACCCCUAAGGCGAGGCCGAAAGGCGUAGUCGAUGGGAAACAGGUUAAUAUUCCUGUACUUGGUGUUACUGCGAAGGGGGGACGGAGAAGGCUAUGUUGGCCGGGCGACGGUUGUCCCGGUUUAAGCGUGUAGGCUGGUUUUCCAGGCAAAUCCGGAAAAUCAAGGCUGAGGCGUGAUGACGAGGCACUACGGUGCUGAAGCAACAAAUGCCCUGCUUCCAGGAAAAGCCUCUAAGCAUCAGGUAACAUCAAAUCGUACCCCAAACCGACACAGGUGGUCAGGUAGAGAAUACCAAGGCGCUUGAGAGAACUCGGGUGAAGGAACUAGGCAAAAUGGUGCCGUAACUUCGGGAGAAGGCACGCUGAUAUGUAGGUGAAGUCCCUCGCGGAUGGAGCUGAAAUCAGUCGAAGAUACCAGCUGGCUGCAACUGUUUAUUAAAAACACAGCACUGUGCAAACACGAAAGUGGACGUAUACGGUGUGACGCCUGCCCGGUGCCGGAAGGUUAAUUGAUGGGGUCAGCGCAAGCGAAGCUCUUGAUCGAAGCCCCGGUAAACGGCGGCCGUAACUAUAACGGUCCUAAGGUAGCGAAAUUCCUUGUCGGGUAAGUUCCGACCUGCACGAAUGGCGUAAUGAUGGCCAGGCUGUCUCCACCCGAGACUCAGUGAAAUUGAACUCGCUGUGAAGAUGCAGUGUACCCGCGGCAAGACGGAAAGACCCCGUGAACCUUUACUAUAGCUUGACACUGAACAUUGAGCCUUGAUGUGUAGGAUAGGUGGGAGGCUUAGAAGUGUGGACGCCAGUCUGCAUGGAGCCGACCUUGAAAUACCACCCUUUAAUGUUUGAUGUUCUAACGUGGACCCGUGAUCCGGGUUGCGGACAGUGUCUGGUGGGUAGUUUGACUGGGGCGGUCUCCUCCUAAAGAGUAACGGAGGAGCACGAAGGUUGGCUAAUCCUGGUCGGACAUCAGGAGGUUAGUGCAAUGGCAUAAGCCAGCUUGACUGCGAGCGUGACGGCGCGAGCAGGUGCGAAAGCAGGUCAUAGUGAUCCGGUGGUUCUGAAUGGAAGGGCCAUCGCUCAACGGAUAAAAGGUACUCCGGGGAUAACAGGCUGAUACCGCCCAAGAGUUCAUAUCGACGGCGGUGUUUGGCACCUCGAUGUCGGCUCAUCACAUCCUGGGGCUGAAGUAGGUCCCAAGGGUAUGGCUGUUCGCCAUUUAAAGUGGUACGCGAGCUGGGUUUAGAACGUCGUGAGACAGUUCGGUCCCUAUCUGCCGUGGGCGCUGGAGAACUGAGGGGGGCUGCUCCUAGUACGAGAGGACCGGAGUGGACGCAUCACUGGUGUUCGGGUUGUCAUGCCAAUGGCACUGCCCGGUAGCUAAAUGCGGAAGAGAUAAGUGCUGAAAGCAUCUAAGCACGAAACUUGCCCCGAGAUGAGUUCUCCCUGACUCCUUGAGAGUCCUGAAGGAACGUUGAAGACGACGACGUUGAUAGGCCGGGUGUGUAAGCGCAGCGAUGCGUUGAGCUAACCGGUACUAAUGAACCGUGAGGCUUAACCUUACAACGCCGAAGCUGUU
rnacentral:rRNA from 1 species